AUAUUUCUUCCUUUCCAAGAAUUUCUGCUGCUGUCUUCCCAAUGUAGCUAUAUAGCAGUCUUCAACAUUUUCUGACCCAGAACCCACAUUAAACUGUACUCUGUAAUAUAGUAGAGCUAUACAGCGAAUAUGUGGAAGAAAGGUAUACUCCUUCUUGCAAAAACUAAAAGAGGAAAGAAAAUAUCCUGAGGAACACAUAACAUUUUCUAGGAAAUAAAGCUAUUUUUAUAGCACCUUUGGAUACAAGUCCUUUCUUGUAUUGGCACUGGUUUGUUGCAGUCCUAAGGCCUGGCAGAUUAUAAAUGAGACUGGAGUUCCAUCACUACUGCAGAAGAAACAGAAGGGAAAUAUGGAGCCAUUUGCCAAAUGCCAAUCUGACCUUUUCCUUAACUAAAACAAAGACUUGAAAAGUAAAACUGCAAGAAUAAAUUCUAGGGAGUGGGGUGGAGAGGCAUAAGCGCCUUGUUGUCAAAGGGCUUUGAAAGCGGAAGCUUGAGCCACGCUACAGUUUUUCAGUUAUUUGUAGAGUUCACAGCUAUAUCAUAUUAUUUACAAUACUGUAAAUCAUAUUGAGACUACUUCGAGCAGCAGGCAGUAUUGUCAGCUGAGCAGGGUGGAGUCACAUUGCUUACCUGACUUCCCAGUACAGAGGUCACUGCUGGUUAGGCGGUGGGGAAAUUGGCAUGGUGUACGUGCAGCAGUAGUAGCCCUGGAUUGGCUCCACUGCUGCCCCCUGACCCUCUCCCUUUCAGUUACUGGGAGCAACUUGUGUGUUGAGAAGCCAUGUAAACAACGCUACUCUGCCCUCCUGAUCACUGCUAGUAACAGGCACCUGAAAUGCCCUGCAGAUCCGAAGGAGAGCUCACAGGAGUUCCGAUACGCAGGAAUUCCAAAGAAAGGUGCCCAAACCGCCAGAGUGGUCAGGUCUAACAAUUUAUUAAAGAAAGGUACAAACUUACAGCAAAGGUCUAAUGGCUCCCUUCUUGCCCCUGCUCACAGCCUAUCGUGGGUCAGACACCACAACAAAGAACUGGCUUGUCCACACCUAAGUAAAGAUACACACAUUCUUUAUAGGCCCAGGCAGACCACAUCACAUGGGAACACAGGGGGCUGGUAUUAACCAUUACCUCCCACUCUAGCUAUGCUUGGGACCUGUGGAUACAUCAAAGCAUGUGAAACACAUAUGAGCUCAGUGCUACCUAUUAGGCAGAGGUCAUCUUGACCAUCAAUAUGCUGCAAGCAGGGCUUUCAGAAGAGCUCACCUUUUCGGGUCAAUACAGCACCUAACAAGUUAAAUAUAUAAUGAUGCUGAAGCUGAAGCUAGAAUCUUUUAAUUACAUCUCAGUUUUCAUAUAAAUUUUGGGUUCAGUUCAACAAUCAGUUAUUAGAUACAGGAAAACAGGCGUGAUGGAGUCUGAUAAUGCAAUUAUCGCCAAAUGCAAGCCUUACGUUAUUCUUUCUAUACCUCUUAUUUUUCCUUGGUGUCCUGAUUCCUGUAUGACAACGGUAUUCAGGUCUCUCCCAGUGCUUUAUCACAUUAUAUUACGGUAUAUCUGCCAAAGAACAGACUAAGAUUCCUACUACUGUUAAUAAAUGAACCUUUGAAUUCAAAGACCAUUGUGAUGUGCUGACUUGAUCUACGCAUCGGUAUUUUUGCCUUGGGGUUGGGAGAUCAAAAGUCUUUUAUCCUCAGUCUUCAUGGCUCGUCAUCUACUGUAUUUAAGUGAUUUCAGUCCUUAAAAGACAACUUGUAGAUGAGAACAGAAACUUUGAUCUAAAGUGUUCAUCUUUCAUUUUCUCUAAUUUUUUAAAACUCUUGAAAAUGAAACAAGUGCUCAAAUCACCAGUGUGAAAGGGAAAAUUGAAAGCUUUUCUAUUGUGACUUCUAGGAACCUGAAGUUAAGCAGAAUUGGCAUUUACCUAAGCAGUUAACUGGCAGCCACAGACUUUUUUCUUUAUCUCAGAAGAUUCUCAAAGCAACCAACAACUUGUAGGACCAUACUCAUCUGUACUGUACUGCCCUUUGUACUUUCCAAGUGUCCUAACCUCUGGUGUCUGACUUCGCCUCUUUGAGGAAGAAGGCAGUGGACAUGGAGAAAGAAUCAAAGGGUAAGAGGGCCCAGAGCUGGUCACAGUGGUCCCUGCUAGACCAGAAGCUCCAGUACUGUACAGUAGGAGGACAUGUGACCAACACCUUUCCAUCCUGAAAUGGCCCACCCACGAUGGCUGUGUUUUACCUUCUCUUGGAGGCAGUACAGUCUUCACACUGCUGCUAUAUAGAGGCAUACUCAGAGGUUCUGAUUGUAGGCUUCUCAGAGGCAUCUGGUUGGCCACUGGGAGAACAGGAUACUGGAGUAGGUGGGCCUUCUUUGGUCUGGCCCAGCAGGGUCUUCUUAUGAGGAAGUUCACUUACUGGCAGGUGUGGGUAGAGCUAACAACCUAUACUCACUUGCUUAGCUCUUUCUGCAUCCUGAGCUUUAUAUCGAACUACGUGUCUAGAACACUCUGCUCGCUUUGUCUACUAGAGCUAUCACCUGGAGCAGAAUACACAAGUCAUCUUGCAGUGAUGAUAAGAAAUCCAGGAAGCUUGGAUUUGAUACAUGGAGAGAUCAAGUGUGCUGUGAAACCAUAAAUUACGUUCUGCUGGAGAACAUAUGAAGAGCCCUACUGGAUCAGAUCAAAGACCAUCCUGUUCUCACUAUGGCCAACUAGUUGCCUUUGGGAAGCCUGCAAGCAAGAACAUGAGCACAACAGCAUUUAUCCACUGCUGUUUUUCAACAAAUGGUAUUCAGAGGCAUGCUGGAAGGAGUUCAUAGCUCUCUUGACUAGUAGCCUUUGACAGCCUUAUCCUCAAUGACGUGUCCAAUCCCUUUUUAAAGACUUCUGAGUUUGUAGCCAUCACUACACCUUGUGUAAGUGAAUACUGUAGUUUAAUUAUGUACUGAGUGAAGCCAUACCUCCUUCUGAAUCUUGCCACCUUUGGUUUCAUGGCUGACCCCUGGUUCUGGAAUUAUGAGAGAGGAAGAAAAGCUUCUCACACUCCACUUUCUCUGUGCCAGGCAUAAUCUAAUACACCUUUUGUCACGUAUACAAUCUUACAUGUAAUCCUUCCUUCAAUAAAAUAUUUUUUAAAAUUUC